UUUGACUUAGGAGAGAAAUGAGCUCAGCUGAUCCACCAUCUGUUACUAGGUUGGGAAUUGGAAAACACCGGACUUGGAUCACCGUCUUCAAUUGGAACAAGCAUACAUUGGAAGACUUUCUAAGACCUUUUGCUCAAGGGCAAACCUUAUUCUCAGAUUGGAUCAAGUUGAGAAGCCCAUGAAGUAUUGUCACCAAGCAUACAGGAGGAAAAAACAGGUCUAAUUUUAUGCAUGUGGUAUUCUAUUUAAUUACAAGAAUUACAUUAAGAACAACUGCUAAUCAUCUGCUUCAGCUAAUUUCAAAGAAAAAAUGUCUAAUAGUACUUUUACAUUUUCUAAUUAGUGAUUUUAUUUGCUGUUAUUGAAUGCCCUGAAUUUAAUUAAGCCACUCAGAAGGGGAGACAGGUGGCAGGACGCACAAGGAAUUUUGCCGCACUGGGUUGAAAAGCAUCAUGAAAGCAUUUCAGGUUCUUUGGCAAGUGCCUCUGUUCCCUCCAAGGGCUCUGCUGACAGUCUUCUCUCCUGCUCCACUUGUCACACUGGGGGCUGCUGCUGUUACUCUGGGUGUGCCACACCAUACAGGGUGCCUCUGCUGCUCUGCAUUGCCUCUUUGGCCUUGUCGGAUGCCACAGACCAUGUCUGGUGUCUACUGCUGGUCUGCUAGAACCUCACCAGACUCCCUGGCCACACAUACAGUCUAAAUCCCAUUGUGAUGUUCUGUGCUGCCAAGUAUUGUGCUUUGGGAUCAAAGUGUUGAGAAGGACAGUGACUCUUUCAAAUGUCAUUCCAUUGGGGUCAACUCUAGUGAUUUCUCACUGUAUUUGACAGUUUAGUGCAAGAGCUCUCUCAGUUUUUAGAGUCAUACGUUUCCCUGUACACAUUCAUAGAGCUGGGGAGAGUGAGCAAUAGCCAAGACAUUGCUGAAAUCACAAUGUGGAACUCCUCAAGGCUAUGCAUGUACAUUAUUGCAAAGAAUAAGGCUUUGUUCCUCAUCCAUCCUCUGGUAGUCACAGCUUUAUUUUAAUUAGAGCUGUUUCCAUAAAGCUAGCAUAGAGAUAUGUGUCUGUCUACAGGACGAGUUCGUGAGAUGUGCCCAAAGCAAUGGUAAAUAAGGCUUGAGUUUUCUAGGAGGCAAUUCAGUCCUUCUGCAAAUAGAUCCUCACCUCUGCUGCUACAUUUGGUAUGCACUUUUACCUUGGCAUGCACCACGGUGCCCUGUGAUUAUUAAUUUACUUCCAUGUCUUGGUCUUCAUGUCUCUCUGUAGAUCUUUAAGGGCAGGGACAAUACAUUAUUCAACUUUAUUUAAAAAUUCUAACAUCUAUCCUAGUGUUAGAUACUGAGCAAACAUGCAGCAAAUGUGUCCUGUAUAAAUGAAACAAGUCAUAUUCCAAUUUUUUUGUUUUCCUCCUGGUUUUACUUAAUGAAACUCAUUGAACUAAAAAUAUCUAAUCUUUAUAUUCCUCCAGCAAACUAUGAGACUUAGUCCAUUUUAGAUUCUUAUUAAAAUUUACUGAAUUGCCUUUUUUGGUAUUCAUAAAUGUAUGAAAGUGACUUACCAAUUAGUGAUAAUUAUUAUUAAUUGCUUAUUAAUAGAUUAUAAUUGGAGCCCAGCACAUAUUGUUACAGGCCUUAUCAUAUUUCAGGCAACACUUCGAUUUUAAAACAAACAUUAAAAAAAAUUCUUAUUUGAUGACUCUGAGGAUAGACCUCCCACCAUAAGCCUUUAUCCAUGCUAGAGUGGAAUAGACAGAUGCAUUUCAUUUACAGCGUAAGAUAAAAUUGCUCUUUGAUAUUCAGUACUCUGUGUGGGGAAAGCCUUUUUUUUCUUUUCUGAAUUCCAGUAAUUGUCUUGUUUGUAGUCCCUUGCUGCAGACCUUUGCCUCCUGCCAACUGCUUGCCAGACGUGGUCUCAAUGUUAAGAAGGGAGAGGUUCCCAGAGAGCAUAAGAUAUAUAUUGAAAUCAAACAUUUUUCUAAAACUAUUGUUUUCCAAUUUCCACUAAAUCAUACCUUUUGUGACCCUUCUUACUCAGUGGAUUUCAAAACACUUAGCAAAAGAAUAACUAAAAUAAAAAGUCAUUACUCACAGAUGCUUUGCACACCUGAAGGGUAAAGUUGGUUUUUCUUUUGUGUGUUAUUUAUACCAAUGACACACCAUUUCUUUAUUAUUUUUGAGUUUCAUUCUUUAGGUUAACUGGCUCCACUUUGAUUUCUGCUGCUCAGCUAUGACACAACAAUUGAAUUUAAGUAUCAGCCUAUUACUUACUCUGUAUGUUUCAAAAUUCAAGGUCAGAAUAAAAAAUUAGAAAACAAAUG
rnacentral:lncRNA from 1 species